rnacentral:tRNA from 1 species
GGGAGACCUAAUUCCGGUAGGAGACGAAAAAAAAGUAGUCCCAACCAAGAAUCAAUCCCAAAAGGUCGGAGCGAGGCGAAAUUGGCUUUCAAACUAGGUUCUGGGUUCACACAAGACCUGAAUCAGGAACAAGGGCUAUUAGCUCAGGUGGUUAGAGCGCACCCCUGAUAAGGGUGAGGUCCCUGGUUCGAGUCCAGGAUGGCCCACCUGUACAGGUGGAAGAAAGAAAAGAAGCUCCGAAUCAGCACCUUAUCUUACUAAUAGAGUAAGAGAGAAUGCUGGCUCUGAGUUCAGAG